AGGGAAUAUUGGACAAUGGGGGCAACCCUGAUCCAGCCAUGCCGCGUGAGUGAAGAAGGCCCUCGGGUUGUAAAGCUCUUUUGUCCGGAAAGAAAAGCACUCGGUGAAUACCCGGAUGUUCUGACGGUACCGGAAGAAUAAGCACCGGCUAACUUCGUGCCAGCAGCCGCGGUAAUACGAAGGGUGCAAGCGUUACUCGGAAUUACUGGGCGUAAAGCGUGCGUAGGUGGUUGUUUAAGUCUGAUGUGAAAGCCCUGGGCUCAACCUGGGAAUGGCAUUUGAAACUGGGCAGCUAGAGUGCGGUAGAGGGUAGUGGAAUUCCCGGUGUAGCAGUGAAAUGCGUAGAGAUCGGGAGGAACAUCCGUGGCGAAGGCGACUGCCUGGACCAGCACUGACACUGAGGCACGAAAGCGUGGGGAGCAAACA
rnacentral:rRNA from 1 species